GUGCAGUAAUGCAAGUGAUGCUCUUGAUAAAUUGAGGUUUUUGAGUGUGACUGAGCCCGCCUUACUUGGAGGUGCUGGUGAGCUAGAGAUUCGUAUAAAUUUUGAUCCAGAAAAUGGGACCAUCACCAUGACGUGGGUGCCUUAAUAUUGUUUCCAUUCGAAGUAGUUUAUAAAGUUGCUUAGUUUUUCCGUGUUUGCAGGGAUACUGGUAUUGGAAUGACAAAAGAUGAGCUUAUAGACUGCCUUGGAACUAUUGCUCAGAGUGGCACUUCUAAAUUCUUAAAGGCUUUGAAGGUAUCUAUUACUAUCAAUAUCAUAUCCACCGUAUUUAUCUAGAUUUAUCAUACUUAGACUUCGCAGUUUGGCAAACAGCUUGAUAGGCCUUUCUAAGAAGCACCGAUACUUGUAAACUUGUUACGUACCCGUAUCCGAUACGUCGAUACUCUCUGAUACACUUCGAUACGUACCGGAUACUUGUUUUUUAAUUAUUUUUAUAUUUUUUACAUAUCCGAUACGUAUCCCAUACGUAUUUUUUAAUUAUUUUAUAUUUUUUGUAUGAUUUUUGAUAUGUAGCCGAUACUUCAUGAUUAACAUGCACAUUCACUACAAAAUACUGCUUUGAAACUUCUUGUGCAACCUUUUUUUUCAUCUAGUGCCAUACUCUUUUGUACACUCUAUGAGAAGGAAUAAAAUAACUUCACAACGAGUUGAAGAAUUGGUUUUCAUUCGUAGCAAUUUGCGCCUUUUAUAAAAGGAUUAGAUCUCUAUUCAAAAGGAGAAUCCUAAAUGUGGGACACUACUUGAAACUUUUUUGAAACUCUUGAAGGUGUUACUCCUUGAGAUUACUAAUCUAUCAUUAGAUGAGCCAGAGAUGAAGAUUUUUAUUUUUAAUAAUAAUGAAGAUAUUGUUGUUGAUGUUGAAGGAAAUGAAGUUUCUACAAUUAAUGAUUAAGAUAAAGUAUUUUGGUAUUUUAUUUAUUUUCAUUAUCACGCUUCUAUAUUAAUGUUUUUUAAUAUUAAUAAAUUUAUGUUGAAUUUUAUAACAUAUAUCGGCGUAUUCUAAGUUUUUCAAAAAGUCGUAUCGGCGUAUCCGUAUCGUAUCGUACCUGAAUUACGUAUCCGUAUCCGUGCUUCUUAGGGCCUUUUUUAUUUCUUUUGAAAUUGACAAAUGAAGCUUUCUAAGUAGGGAAACAAGGACCUUGGGGGGAAGAUAAUGGCCUCAUUGGUUAAUUUGGUGUUGGAUAUUAUUCUUCAUUUUUGGUUGCUGAAAAGGUGAUGAUUUGUGUGCAUGCAUAAUUGAUUCAUGUUUAUUAAUAAUCCACUGGGGCCUUUAUUUUUUCCACGUGGCAGUGCCAAAAAAAGGUCCCAGAUCAGAUAAGCAAUAUGUUUGGGAAGCAAUGGCUGAUACCAGCUCCUACAUUAUUAGGGAGGAAACUGCUCCUGAAUAUUUACCACAUGUAGGAACACAAAUCACACUCUAUUCGAGUGUAUCUAUCCUUGUUUUUAAUCCAAAACUUGUUCCUUAAAUAUACAUCAUAUCUACACUUCCAUGUUGCAAACAUAGAGAUGUGUUCAUAGUUUCGAGUUAUGAAGUGGAAAUUGGGCAGAAACUCUAGUCAUACUCUGGCAGCUGCUCUAUGAAGCUUCAGGAUAAACUUUUUGGAUUGUAUUGUCAAGAAAAGUUAUUAUGAGGUUUCUUCCUUUGAAUUUGCCAAUAGUGCUAUCUUUUAAUAGAAUCAACUUAGCUUAUAUUAUUCAUGCAGGAAGACGACAAGUAUGAAUGCUCAGAGCCAACCAAGAUCCGGAGUUUGGUGAAAAAUUAUUUAUAGUUUGUUUCAUUCCUCAUUUACUCAUGGCAAGAGAAGUCGAGGGCAGUUGAAAUGAGAAUUUUUUAUUUGAUCUACAACUAAACCAAACUGGGAUUUAUUCUCGAUAGUGUCCCUCCGUGAAUCCUUUUUUCCUGUUUGUUUUUAAUUGCUACAUCCGCUAGAAUAUCCAACCUACCUAAGUCAUAUUUUUGUCUGACUGCUUGUUGGGAGAUUGCAGGCCACCCUGAUGUAGGAUCAAUGGGAUUUCAGCAGUUGAACAAUAACCAGCGGAAAAUAAGAUGAUGAUUAAGAAGAAAUAGGCAACAAGAAAGGGGGAGAAUCGGAGAGAAUGGGGGGA
rnacentral:lncRNA from 1 species